rnacentral:rRNA from 1 species
UACGGAAGGCAGCAGUGGGGAAUAUUGCACAAUGGGCGCAAGCCUGAUGCAGCCAUGCCGCGUGUAUGAAGAAGGCCUUCGGGUUGUAAAGUACUUUCAGUCGUGAGGAAGGUGUUAAGGUUAAUAACCUUAGCAAUUGACGUUAGCGACAGAAGAAGCACCGGCUAACUCCGUGCCAGCAGCCGCGGUAAUACGGAGGGUGCGAGCGUUAAUCGGAAUUACUGGGCGUAAAGGGCACGCAGGCGGUUAAUUAAGUUGGAUGUGAAAUCCCCGGGCUUAACCUGGGAAUGGCAUUCAAGACUGGUUAGCUAGAGUCUUGUAGAGGGGGUAGAAUUCCAUGUGUAGCGGUGAAAUGCGUAGAGAUGUGGAGGAAUACCGGUAGCGAAGGCGGCCCCUGGACAAAGACUGACGCUCAUGUGCGAAAGCGUGGGGAGCAAACGAGGGAUUAGAUACC